AUACGGAGGAUGCGAGCGUUAUCCGGAUUUAUUGGGUUUAAAGGGAGCGUAGGUGGGAUAUUAAGUCAGCUGUGAAAGUUCGGGGCUCAACCUUAAAAUUGCAGUUGAUACUGGUUUCCUUGAGUACGGUACAGGUGGGCGGAAUGCGUGGUGUAGCGGUGAAAUGCUUAGAUAUCACGAAGAACUCCGAUCGCGAAGGCAGCUCACCGGGCCGGAACUGACACUGAUGCUCGAAAGUGCGGGUAUCAAACAGGAUUAGAUACCCUGGUAGUCCGCACAGUAAACGAUGAAUACUCGCUGUUUGCGAUACACUGUAAGCGGCCAAGCGAAAGCGUUAAGUAUUCCACCUGGGGAGUACGCCGGCAACGGUGAAACUUAAAGGAAUUGACGGGG
rnacentral:rRNA from 1 species